GUGAUUUUCCUGAGAACGGAAAACGUCGAAAGGGUAAGGUUUCCUUGGCAAUACUCAUUUAGCCAAGGGUUAGUCAGCACCUAAGUCGUAUCUUAACUGAAUACGACGAUGGACAACAGGUUAAUAUUCCUGUACUGAUUAAGUCUUACAUAACAGAUAGCUUUUGGAUAAGCGAACAUUCGAGAGAGUGUUUUGAUGAAGAAAUUUGGGGAGCGUAAUGCUUAGAUCUUUAUAAAUUCAUCAAACAAAAUCGCUGAUUCCGGGAGCCAGUGAAAAGUCUUGUUGUUAAACGGAUUUAGUUAGCUGUACCCAUAACCGACACUGGUGCCCUAGCUUAGUAGGCUAAGACGUGAAAGGAUAACCCAACUAAGGGAAUUCGGCAAUUUAGUCCUGUAGCUUCGGCUGAAGGGAUGUCUAUCUUUGUGUUUUUUUCUUCGGAACUGGAUGCAUCGAUAGAUCACAGUAACAAGGAUGGCCCGACUGUUUACCAAAAACGUAGCUGAUUGCUAAUCCGAAAGGACAUGUAUAAUCAGUGAGACCUGCCCAGUGGUGGUGUCUCAAACUCCUUUUCAAGGGAGCUAAGGCCCAUUAAACGGCGGGGGUAACUAUGACCCUCUUAAGGUGAAACGUUGCCUUACGGUUUUCUUGUCUUACCGAUGAGAAAAACGCUUCAGGGGAAAUAAACAGUUGAAAGUUACAGAUUAAAUAAACGAGUUAAACCAAUGGAGAAAAUCGAGCUAUAUGCUGGAACAUCCGAGAAUAUUUGAAUACUCGUCGAGAAAUCGAAAGUGAAAAUUUCAAAUUGCGGACAAUCAGCAGGGAAGACUUAUUAAUAAGAACCCUCAGAGACUACACGCUCGACGCUGAAUGAUUAUUUCGUUCGCUCCGCUCACAAUUUUUUGGCUCAGAAUCAAACUUCGUUAAGAUUCUUCGCGUUAAUUAAUUUUAAUACGAAAAUUCUGACGAAGUCGAAUUUGAGUUUAAUUAAUCGAGCGAUUUAUUGCGAGCAAAUUAUUUUAUUCAGUAAAGAUAUAGUCCGAACUUAAUGGCGACAUUAAGAAUUGAAUUCUGCUCAAAAGAAUUCAGAUUAACAAAAAAACGAAAUGAAUUUGCGUUGAACAUUGAAAUCACAAAAUGAUUUCGUGACUCCGCUAAUAAAUUAUCAUUGAGUCUUACGAGACUCCGCGAGAAGAACUCGCGUCGUAUGAGCGUAAUGCCUUGUCGUCUGAAUGGCGACGUGCAUGAAUGGUUUAACGAGGUUGUCACUGUCCCUAGUUGGCACCUUCUGAACACAUCGCGUGGUGCAAAGACCACGGACGCCUAGUGGGAAGCUAAGACCUUGUGGAACUUUACUGCAACUUGUUGUUGUAAUCUUAAGAGGAACACAUAGAAUAAGUAGGAGCGUCGAUGCCGUGAUUUCGGUUGCGGCGGAGCAAAAGUGUAAUACUACUUGCUUUUCUUAAGAUUGCUUACCCUUUAAUCUCUCACGAGAUGGCUACGUCCUUACGGUCGUAGUCGGGGACAGCUGCAGGCGGGCAGUUUGGCUGGGGCGGCACCCUGCCGAAAAUAUAUCGGCAGGACCCAAAGACAAACUCAUCCAGCUUGGAAAUCUGGAGUUGAGUGCGAGGGCAAAAGUUUGUCUGAAUGUAUUUUGAAAAGCAAGAAAUGCAUGAUCGAAAGAUUGGCCUAGCGAACCCACAUGCUCUUUUAAUAGGAGCUGUGUCUGAUAGAAAAGUUACCCCAAGGAUAACAGGCUUGUCGCCCCCGAUAGUCCAUAUUGACGGGGCGGUUUGGUACAUCGCUGUCGGCUCUACCUAUCCUGCGCGUGCAGAAGCGUGCAAGGGUGUCGGAGUUCACGCAUUAAAAGGUAUCGUUAGCUGGGUUAAGAACGUUGCGAGACAGUUUGUACGAUAUCUACUAGGUGUGUUGUUGUCUGAGUGGAACGAUCUUCUAGUACGAGAGGAACGGGGAUCGGGCGCCUCUGGUGAGCAGUUGUCAUAUGGCAGGCUGCAUAGCUACGCGUCGAGCGGAUAAGAGCUGAAUGCAUCUAAGCUCGAAGCCGUCCGCAAAACGAGACAACUAAGGCCGUCAAAGAAGAUGACGUUGAUAGAGUUGGAGUGUAAGACAGAAGCUUCGGCGACUGUUUCAGCUCACAACUACUAAAAGCUUUACUUGUAAUUUUA
rnacentral:rRNA from 1 species